GAUGAACGCUGGCGGCGUGCCUAAUACAUGCAAGUCGAGCGAACAGACGAGGAGCUUGCUCCUCUGACGUUAGCGGCGGACGGGUGAGUAACACGUGGAUAACCUACCUAUAAGACUGGGAUAACUUCGGGAAACCGGAGCUAAUACCGGAUAAUAUAUUGAACCGCAUGGUUCAAUAGUGAAAGACGGUUUUGCUGUCACUUAUAGAUGGAUCCGCGCCGCAUUAGCUAGUUGGUAAGGUAACGGCUUACCAAGGCAACGAUGCGUAGCCGACCUGAGAGGGUGAUCGGCCACACUGGAACUGGGACACGGACCAGACGCCUACGGGAGGUAGCAGUAGGGAAUCUUCCGCAAUGGGCGAAAGCCUGACGGAGCAACGCCGCGUGAGUGAUGAAGGUCUUCGGAUCGUAAAACUCUGUUAUUAGGGAAGAACAAAUGUGUAAGUAACUAUGCACGUCUUGACGGUACCUAAUCAGAAAGCCACGGCUAACUACGUG
rnacentral:rRNA from 1 species